AACUUAACAUAGCUUAAAGAACAUAACACUAUCUCUGAACAGGGUAAGAAAAUGUUUGGGUUGUGGGUUACAUUCAUGUGGUUAUAUAUAUAAACAAAGGUUACAGACUCAAACGGGGUUAACAAGGGAUAAUAUUAAAGGGAUGGCUAGAAAGGCUCAUGGCUUAUAAUUCAAACAAAGUGCCUCAAUAUGUGUAUACAUGUAGUGAUAUUCUAAGAGAACUUACGCAAACUCAGAGUGAUAAAGACAUACCUGAAUAUCGCUCAUGAUGAAAAAUGUGUUUGGCUUUUAUGUGCUCACCAUGUUAGGUAAAGCUUGACAGAUUCCAAAGUACCUCUAGUAUGGUGCGGCUUCUUACUCAAC
rnacentral:lncRNA from 1 species